UCCUACGGGAGGCAGCAGUGGGGAAUAUUGCGCAAUGGGCGAAAGCCUGACGCAGCGACGCCGCGUGAGGGAUGAAGGUUCUCGGAUCGUAAACCUCUGUCAGGGGGGAAGAAACCCCCUCGUGUGAAUAAUGCGAGGGCUUGACGGUACCCCCAAAGGAAGCACCGGCUAACUCCGUGCCAGCAGCCGCGGUAAUACGGAGGGUGCAAGCGUUAAUCGGAAUCACUGGGCGUAAAGCGCACGUAGGCGGCUUGGUAAGUCAGGGGUGAAAUCCCACAGCCCAACUGUGGAACUGCCUUUGAUACUGCCAGGCUUGAGUACCGGAGAGGGUGGCGGAAUUCCAGGUGUAGGAGUGAAAUCCGUAGAUAUCUGGAGGAACACCGGUGGCGAAGGCGGCCACCUGGACGGUAACUGACGCUGAGGUGCGAAAGCGUGGGUAGCAAACAGGAUUAGAUACCCUGGUAGUCC
rnacentral:rRNA from 1 species